rnacentral:rRNA from 1 species
UACGAAGGGGGCUAGCGUUGCUCGGAAUCACUGGGCGUAAAGCGCACGUAGGCGGACUCUUAAGUCGGUGGUGAAAUCCUGGAGCUCAACUCCAGAACUGCCUUCGAUACUGAGAGUCUCGAGUCCGAGAGAGGUGAGUGGAACUGCGAGUGUAGAGGUGAAAUUCGUAGAUAUUCGCAAGAACACCGUGGCGGAGGAGGGCG